ACGGCUCAGUAACACGUGGAUAACCUGCCCUUGGGACCGGGAUAACCCCGGGAAACUGGGGAUAAUACCGAAUAACGCAUAUCUGCUGGAAUGCUUUAUGCGUAAAAUGGAUUUGUCUGCCCAAGGAUGGGUCUGCGGCCUAUCAGGUAGUAGUGGGUGUAAUGUACCUACUAGCCUACGACGGGUACGGGUUGUGAGAGCAAGAGCCCGGAGAUGGAUUCUGAGACAUGAAUCCAGGCCCUACGGGGCGCAGCAGGCGCGAAAACUUUACAAUGCGGGAAACCGUGAUAAGGGGACACCGAGUGCCAGCAUCAUAUGUUGGCUGUCCAGAUGUGUAAAAUACAUCUGUUAGCAAGGGCCGGGCAAGACCGGUGCCAGCCGCCGCGGUAACACCGGCGGCCCGAGUGGUGAUCGUGAUUAUUGGGUCUAAAGGGUCCGUAGCCGGUUUGGUCAGUCCUCCGGGAAAUCUGACGGCUCAGCCGUUAGGCUUUCGGUGGAUACUGCCAGACUUGGAACCGGGAGAGGUAAGAGGUACUACAGGGGUAGGAGUGAAAUCUUGUAAUCCCUGUGAGACCACCUGUGGCGAAGGCGUCUUACCAGAACGGGUUCGACGGUGAGGGACGAAAGCUGGGGGCACGAACCGGAUUAGAUACCCGGGUAGUCCCAGCCGUAAACGAUGCUCGCUAGGUGUCAGGCAUGGCGCGACCGUGUCUGGUGCCGCAGGGAAGCCGUGAAGCGAGCCACCUGGGAAGUACGGCCGCAAGGCUGAAACUUAAAGGAAUUGGCGGGGGAG
rnacentral:rRNA from 1 species